GGGGGCGAAAAGGUUUCGACGGGGAUGAUGAAGGGUUCGUGGCGUGUCCGCCGGCCCAGGCACGGCGUAAAUACGCUUGGGAAACACAAUUGCCAACGACAACGGCAUCGCUCUCGCGGCCUGAUUAGGGCCAAGUGAGCCGUCGAACCGAGGAGGCCGUCCGUGCUCCUCGGGGAGGCGUCAUUCGAACGGACUGGUUGGUUCGAGCGCAGCUCGCCGAACCGACGAGACUUCGAGCUGCUAGCGUGAGGAAGAGCCUGUCCGUGGGCGAGUCCACACGCGAAACCCAAAACACUGGACUACGCACGUAGAAGCGAAUCUGGAGCAUUCUCGGACCCGAGUUCGACUCUCGGCGCCUCCACCA
rnacentral:tmRNA from 1 species